rnacentral:rRNA from 1 species
UACGAAGGGGGCUAGCGUUGCUCGGAAUUACUGGGCGUAAAGGGCGCGUAGGCGGCACUGUUAGUCAGGCGUGAAAGUCCUGGGCUCAACCUGGGAACUGCGCUUGAUACGGCAGAGCUAGAGGAUGGAAGAGGCUCGCGGAAUUCCCAGUGUAGAGGUGAAAUUCGUAGAUAUUGGGAAGAACACCGGUGGCGAAGGCGGCUCUCUGGUCCGGUACUGACACUCAAGUACGAAAGCGUGGGGAGCAAACAGG